UACGGAGGGUGCAAGCGUUAUCCGGAUUCACUGGGUUUAAAGGGCGCGUAGGCGGGCUGUCAAGUCUGGGGUGAAAUCCCGCGGCUCAACCGCGGAACUGCCUCAGAUACUGACGGUCUCGAGGGGGGUAGGGGCGAGCGGAACUGAUGGUGGAGCGGUGAAAUGCGUUGAUAUCAUCAGGAACUCCGGUGGCGAAGGCGGCUCGCUGGACCCCUUCUGACGCUGAGGCGCGAAAGCCAGGGGAGCAAACGGG
rnacentral:rRNA from 1 species